rnacentral:miRNA from 1 species
CUUCUCUGUUUUGGCCAUGUG